AGAGUUUGAUCAUGGCUCAGAACGAACGCUGGCGGCGUGGAUAAGACAUGCAAGUCGAGCGCUGGUUUGGAGGUAGCAAUAUUUUCAAAUUGGAGCGGCGCAAGGGUGCGUAACACGUGGGAAUCUGCCUUGAAGUGUGGGAUAACUCCGAGAAAUCGGAGCUAAUACCGCAUGUGAUCGAAAGAUCAAAGUUGGGGAUCGCAAGACCUGACGCUUUAAGAUGAGCCCGCGGCCUAUCAGCUAGUUGGUGAGGUAAUGGCUCACCAAGGCUAAGACGGGUAGCUGGUCUGAGAGGACGACCAGCCACACUGGAACUGAGACACGGUCCAGACACCUACGGGUGGCAGCAGUCGAGAAUUUUUCUCAAUGGGCGAAAGCCUGAAGGAGCGACGCCGCGUGGGGGAUGAAUGGCUUCGGCCCGUAAACCCCUGUCAUUUGCGAACAAAUUGAUUCACCCAACACGUGGAUCAUUGAUAGUAGCGGAAGAGGAAGGGACGGCUAACUCUGUGCCAGCAGCCGCGGUAAUACAGAGGUCCCAAGCGUUGUUCGGAUUUACUGGGCGUAAAGGGUGCGUAGGCGGUCGGCAAAGUCUGAUGUGAAAUCUCCGGGCCUAACCCGGAAACGGCGUUGGAUACUAGCUGGCUAGAGGAGUGGAGGGGAGACUGGAAUACUUGGUGUAGCAGUGAAAUGCGUAGAUAUCAAGUGGAACACCAGUGGCGAAGGCGAGUCUCUGGACAUUUCCUGACGCUGAGGCACGAAAGCCAGGGGAGCAAACGGGAUUAGAUACCCCCGG
rnacentral:rRNA from 1 species